rnacentral:other from 1 species
CAUAAGCUACGUUGUUCGUAACGAUAAUAAAGUUUUAACCUUUAUACUUGGUUAGGGAGUUUAACAUCGGUGCCCCUCCGACAAGCCUUCGUCUAUAUGACAGGGAGGACAUACGGAUUAGGUAUCUGAGAACACCCACUUUGAGGAGUGGUGGUUUAAAACUUUCUUAAUAAAGUUACGGCAAAGGUGGCUUGUAC